UACCGUGGCUGGGGCACCGGGUUGUACUGCGGCAGUGGUACCGGUGGUACUGUGGAGGAGCAGGCUCGUGCCGGGGUGGCUCGGGAUCAGCCUGCUAUAGCGGAGGCUCAACCUGCGGUAAUGGAUGAGGGUCAGGUAACUCCCUUCUCUCCUCUCGCCCUUGCUGGGCAGCUAUGAACCCUUCCAUCAUCUCAAAUAAUCUGUCUACAUCCUCUCGAAGCGAAUUAUCCCGGGCCGCUCGAUUUAGUGGGGGUCUUCCUCUCCUCAUUUAUUUGCACCUGUAUUUCAUAAGGAAUGGUUGAGUAACGACUUAUCGGUGAGUAUUUCUCUAAGCAUUAUUGUGUAAGGGAUGGGUCUGAGGAACGCAGCUCUGAUACCAACUGUAACAGCCCCGAAAUUUUAAAUGAAGAUGUAUGUAUUAAAAAUCUCAAAUGUGGAAGUGUAAUAAAAAUUUUGAUUAACAUCCCUUACACAAUAAC
rnacentral:lncRNA from 1 species